CCUACGGGAGGCAGCAGUGAGGAAUAUUGGUCAAUGGACGCAAGUCUGAACCAGCCAUGUAGCGUGCAGGAUGACGGCCCUAUGGGUUGUAAACUGCUUUUAUACGGGGAUAAACUGAGACACGUGUGUCUGUUUGUAAGUACCGUAUGAAUAAGGAUCGGCUAACUCCGUGCCAGCAGCCGCGGUAAUACGGAGGAUCCGAGCGUUAUCCGGAUUUAUUGGGUUUAAAGGGUGCGUAGGCGGUCGGUUAAGUGAGUUGUGAAAUGCCGGGGCUCAACGGUGGAAUUGCCUCUGAUACUGUGCGGCUUGAGAGCAGUUGCGGUAGGCGGAAUGUGUGGGGUAGCGGUGAAAUGCUUAGAUAUCACGCAGAACUCCGAUUGCGAAGGCAGCCUACCAAGCUGCUACUGACGUUGAGGCUCGAAAGUGUGGGUAUCAAACAGGAUUAGAUACCCUAGUAGUC
rnacentral:rRNA from 1 species